UGGUGGCCCUCGUUCGCCCGUGAGGAUCUGUCCUUUUCCCUGAUUUUAUUUUUGUUUUGUAUUAAUUUAAUUAUGAUCUGGUUUUAUUUUAUUUUUUGGAUACAUUAAACUAGGACUAGUAGAUUUAUUAAAAGGUGGUUAUAAUCUUAUAAUACGAUGGCUGAAGAUUAAAACACGAGGAGAUUGUUUUUUUUUUUUGCAAAACGAUCGAGGAGAUGGUUUUUCCAGACUAAUUCCGUACUCAUAAUGCGGAGAACUCGUGGCGACGCUUUGGCGGCGGGAGGAGGAUCACGCUGCGGGGCGCGGAGGAGCUCCGUGGUGGCCACACACAGAUGGAUCCGGAGAAGGGGAGAGAAAGAGGGAAAAAAGUGAGGCCCACUCCAAUAAGCAGCUCUCUGUUUGAAUACUUUUGGAUUAGAUGAGUUUAAAAAAAAACUAAAUCUAACUCUAAUCUAUGGAUCCAAACAUGAUGCUUGUUUAAGGAGUCCAGUUGCAACAGGUUCCUUUAAUCAAAGGGAUAUAAACUCUCUCAUGCCUGUAGACCCGACCUGUGGCUAUGUCCAAAAUGAAUUUAUAUCUAUCCUGCCGCCGCUGCCGGGCCGGCCGCCCCUCCCUCCAACUUCCUUCCUCGGGUGCCCUCCAUCGCCGGAUCCGCCGAUGAGAGUGGGCAACCUCUGCUGAGAGGCAUCUAUGCCUACGAAAGGAAUUGGAGGAACCCAUACUGCUACCUCAAAGUAAUCAUGACGUGCAUAUAACGUCAGUUGGUGCUACAUUGGUUGCCAGCGCUGCGGCUUCCCCCCUCCCCGUGCCGCGUGGUGGCCUGCUCCGCGGCCGCGCCAUGGCCGCGAACAUUUGACCAGGGAACACCAUUGCGCGAAGCCAGAACAAGACUUUUCAGAGGUGAACCGUGCGGCACUGUGGUGGGCACCGGCCAGCCUGCUCUACGCCGGCAACCAGCUGCUGCUACUGCAGAACGAGGGCAUCGUCUAGGAAGCCAUCAACUCCCGUAAGUACGAGCUACUGCAGAGCGAGGGCAUCGUCUAGGAAGCCAUCAACUCCCCAAGCAGACAUUAUCAAAUUCUUGAGUUGAAGAAUCCAGGUCACAGGCCAUACAAAGCCUUCAGCAUGCAAUUCGAGGUUACCCAACAUGUGCAGAUUUAUGGGAGCUGGGUAUUCCCCCCCCCCCCCCUCUGGCCCUCUCCAGGUUUCCGGUUGUCAAAUUUUCUUAGCUCCAAGUUAUACAUGGUUUAUUGUCACCUCAUUACCCAGAGUCUCACAAUAUAAAUAGAUUCGUUUAUGAAGCGAGAUCA